UGGGGAAUUUUGGACAAUGGGCGCAAGCCUGAUCCAGCAAUGCCGCGUGAGUGAAGAAGGCCUUCGGGUUGUAAAGCUCUUUUGUCAGGGAAGAAACGGUCGAGGUUAAUACCUUUGGCUAAUGACGGUACCUGAAGAAUAAGCACCGGCUAACUACGUGCCAGCAGCCGCGGUAAUACGUAGGGUGCAAGCGUUAAUCGGAAUUACUGGGCGUAAAGCGUGCGCAGGCGGUUUUGUAAGUCUGUCGUGAAAGCCCCGGGCUCAACCUGGGAAUUGCGAUGGAGACUGCAAGGCUUGAAUCUGGCAGAGGGGGGUAGAAUUCCACGUGUAGCAGUGAAAUGCGUAGAGAUGUGGAGGAACACCGAUGGCGAAGGCAGCCCCCUGGGUCAAGAUUGACGCUCAUGCACGAAAGCGUGGGGAGCAAACA
rnacentral:rRNA from 1 species